rnacentral:rRNA from 1 species
UACGUAGGGUGCAAGCGUUGUCCGGAAUUAUUGGGCGUAAAGAGCUCGUAGGCGGCUUGUUACGUCGGGGGUGAAAGCCCGGGGCUUAACCCCGGGUCUGCAUUCGAUACGGGCUAGCUAGAGUGUGGUAGGGGAGAUCGGAAUUCCUGGUGUAGCGGUGAAAUGCGCAGAUAUCAGGAGGAACACCGAUGGCGAAGGCAGGUCUCUGGGCCGAUACUGACGCUGAGGAGCGAAAGCGUGGGGAGCGAACAGG